rnacentral:rRNA from 1 species
AGGGCACCCCCCGGAGUGGAACCCGCCGCCUUAUUUGACUCCACACGGGAAAACUCACCCGGCCCGGACACUGGAAGGAUUGACAGAUUGAGAGCUCUUUCUUGAUUCAGUGGGUGGUGGUGCAUGGCCGUUCUUAGUUGGUGGAGUGAUUUGUCUGGUUAAUUCCGAUAACGAACGAGACGAUAGCCUACUAAAUAAAUCGUCGGCUGACGACACCGGCGGGACGACUUAGAAGGACGGGCGGUGAUUCAUCCGCCCGAAACAGAGCAAUAACAGGUCGGUGAUGCCGCUACGUGAAAUACAGCACAACCAGCGAACUAAAGAACUGAGAUCUCCGUGUUUUCAACCCCACACUGUCAAGUGUGGGGCACCCUAUGAACAUUACCCUGAUUGGGAUAGGGGAUUCAAAGUAUCUCCUUUGAGAAUGGAAUACGCGGUUAGAGCUAGUCCCAUUGACGCGUGGAUUACCUCUAUGCCCGAUGUACAAACUCCCGUUGAUUACUACCCCUGCAAUGUGUA